rnacentral:snRNA from 1 species
ACACAGGUGCUUGCUGCGUGACUGAAAACUCACUUAACACAGAGAAGAUUGGCAUGGCCCCUACACGAGGAUAACACAGAAAUUCGUGAAGUACUCCAUAGUUUU